AUUGAACGCUGGCGGCAUGCCUUACACAUGCAAGUCGAACGGUAACAGGUCUUCGGAUGCUGACGAGUGGCGAACGGGUGAGUAAUGCAUCGGAACGUGCCCGAUCGUGGGGGAUAACGAGGCGAAAGCUUUGCUAAUACCGCAUACGAUCUACGGAUGAAAGCGGGGGAUCUUCGGACCUCGCGCGGCCGGAGCGGCCGAUGGCAGAUUAGGUAGUUGGUGGGAUAAAAGCUUACCAAGCCGACGAUCUGUAGCUGGUCUGAGAGGAUGAUCAGCCACACUGGGACUGAGACACGGCCCAGACUCCUACGGGAGGCAGCAGUGGGGAAUUUUGGACAAUGGGCGAAAGCCUGAUCCAGCCAUGCCGCGUGCAGGAUGAAGGCCUUCGGGUUGUAAACUGCUUUUGUACGGAACGAAAAGCCUCUUUCUAAUAAAGAGGGGUCAUGACGGUACCGUAAGAAUAAGCACCGGCUAACUACGUG
rnacentral:rRNA from 1 species